GGAGGCAUAGCUCAGAUGGUAGAGCGCUCGCUUAGCAUGCGAGAGGUACCGGGAUUGAUUCCUGACACCUCCA
rnacentral:tRNA from 1 species